GAAAAUUUUGAAAAUUUUUCGACCUUAGCCAACGACUUUUCAAAUAUUUUCGUCAGCUAAAGUCCUUUGAAAAUUUUCCUCCAAAUUUGGUUUACCACCCAAAAAUUUUUGACCUUAGCCGAUGACUUUUUUAAUAUCUCGUCGGCUAAAGUCUAUAAAUUCACGAAAACGCUCAUAUCUCCCUCUAUAUUACGUAGUUUAGUCAAACCUUCCACACGAAAAACUUUCACGUAGAUGAGACGCAACCGCCUAUAUAAAAAUUUUGAGACAUUUACCUUCCGACGAUAGGGCUCCCCAUAGGGAAUAAUAACGGUUAAUAGGGUUGACCGCUACUAUCGCCACCGAGACUUUACCCGAUUUACGUGAGUUUUGAACCAUAGCCGUAUUUCACCAUUCUAAACACAUCUUAUUUCACGAGAUUUUUGAUAAUUUUGCUUCCUAUAUAGAGUUGGUUCACAAAAUUGUAUAACCUACUAAACAAGUUAUACAACAUUAGUAGACACGUUGUGAUUCCGAUGACUAAAAUUCACAAACCAAAAUUUGACCGUCAGAUAUGAUCAUUAUGACGAAAGAAGUCUAUGGUAAAAAAUUCAACUGGAUCCGACAACGUUAAGGACUCGAUCGAAACGGUCAACCAUAAUCCAUCGUCACUUAUCACACGAAAACGCUCAUAUCUCCCUCUAUAUUACGUGGUUUGGUCAAACCUUCAACACAAAAAACUCUCACGUAGAUGAGGCGUAACUGCCCAUAUAAAAAUUUUGAGACAUUUAUCUUCCGACGAUAGGGCUCCCCAUAGGGAAUAAUAACGGUAAAUAGUAGACACGUGAUUCCGAUGACUAAAAUUUACAAACCAAAAUUCGACCGUCUGAUAUGAUCAUUAUGACGAAAGAUGUCUAUGGUAAAAAAUUCAACUGGAUUCGACAACGUUAAGGGCUCGAUCAAAACGGUCAACUCUAAUCGGAAAUAAGAAAACUGCAUUUUGAAGCCCUAAACGGACUCAGAUGGCCAAAAAGGCCCAUACAUCAUGGCAAUAGCGAUGAGUUUGACUCGUAGGGCCGUUACGCUUCCGGAAAGGUAUCACAAUAGUCAAUCAGACACCAAAAACCAAAUCUGCAGCAUAGUGAAUAAUAAG
rnacentral:lncRNA from 1 species